ACGGCUCAGUAACACGUGGAUAACCUGCCCAAGGGUCCGGGAUAACCCCGGGAAACUGGGGAUAAUACCGGAUGGAUCACUUAUGCUGAAUGCUUGGUGGUCGAAAGGUGACGCCCUUGGAUGGGUCUGCGGCGGAUUAGGUUGACGCCGGUGUAACGUACCGGCGUGCCUGUAAUCCGUACGGGUUGUGGGAGCAAGAGCCCGGAGAUGGAUUCUGAGACACGAAUCCAGGCCCUACGGGGCGCAGCAGGCGCGAAAACUCUACAAUGCAGGCAACUGCGAUAGGGGGACAUCGAGUGGCAUCCACCUUGGGUGCCUGUCCCACCGUCUAAAAAACGGUGGUUAGCAAGGGCCGGGCAAGACCGGUGCCAGCCGCCGCGGUAACACCGGCGGCUCGAGUGGUAACCGCUAUUAUUGGGUCUAAAGGGUCUGUAGCCGGCCGGAUAAGUCUCUUGGGAAAUCCAGCUGCUCAACAGUUGGGCUUUCAGGAGAUACUGUUCGGCUCGAGGCCGGGAGAGGUGAGAGGUACUUCAGGGGUAGGGGUGAAAUCUUGUAAUCCUUGAAGGACCACCAGUGGCGAAGGCGUCUCACCAGAACGGACCUGACGGCAAGGGACGAAAGCUAGGGGCACGAACCGGAUUAGAUACCCGGGUAGUCCUAGCCGUAAACGAUACUCGCUAGGUGUCAGCCACGGUGCGACCGUGGUUGGUGCCGUAGGGAAGCCGUGAAGCGAGCCACCUGGGAAGUACGGCCGCAAGGCUGAAACUUAAAGGAAUUGGCGGGGGAGCAC
rnacentral:rRNA from 1 species